rnacentral:rRNA from 1 species
GUGACAUCCUGGGAAGUCCUCGUGUUGCAUCCCUC